rnacentral:rRNA from 1 species
UGAGGAAUAUUGCGCAAUGGGCGAAAGCCUGACGCAGCGACGCCGCGUGGGGGAUGAAGGCCUUCGGGUUGUAAACCCCUUUCGGGAGGGAAGAUGGGACGAGCAAUCGUUCGGACGGUACCUCCAGAAGCAGCCACGGCUAACUCUGUGCCAGCAGCCGCGGUAAGACAGAGGUGGCAAGCGUUGUUCGGAUUUACUGGGCGUAAAGGGUGCGUAGGUGGUUAGGUAAGACCUGCGGGAAAGACCUGGGCUUAACCCAGGAAGGUCACAGGUGACUGCCUAGCUUGAGGGCGGGAGAGGAGAGCGGAAUUCCCGGUGUAGCGGUGAAAUGCGUAGAGAUCGGGAGGAAGGCCGGUGGCGAAGGCGGCUCUCUGGAACGUUCCUGACACUGAGGCACGAAAGCGUGGGGAGCAAACAG